UUUGGGGUUUUAGGCUGGGUUUCUGUACAGCACUUUGAGAUAUCAGCUGAUGUACGAAGGGCUAUAUAAAUAAAUUUGAUUUGAUUUGAUUUGAUUGUUAUAUAGUUUUUAAUGCAUUGGCUCAGCUCAGUUUUCCUCUUGUGUUUUCCUCUAGGACCCCUCUGCUGUAGAAGUCUAUGUCCAGUUCUUGAGCUCUGGGCCUUCCCUGGCUUUGUGCCUGCAGAGGGAGAAUGCUGUGAAGAGGCUACUGGACGUGCUGGGACCUGAGGACCCUGCCCAGGACCGCUGAAUGGACCAAUUCCUCUGGAGGGCCUGUUACAGCUCAGACCAUCUACACAGCGGCAUCUAUGGAUCGAGGAGCUAUCAGAUAGCUGUUCAGGAUGUGAAGAGGCUGUUCCCUCAGGGCCUAUGCUGCACAGAGACCAACACCAUGAGACAGGAGCAGAUACAUCACAGUGCUACAAUAGACAUGAUUUACUAUUCCUAGAUGUAUAGCCAUCUCAUAUGCCAUGUGUUAAAUAAGGAACACAUUUUGUGCUUUUACACCUGCAUUGUUUGCUGUUUGGGGUUUUAGGCUGGGUUUCUGUACAGCACUUUGAGAUAUCAGCUGAUGUACGAAGGGCUAUAUAAAUAAAUUUGAUUUGAUUUGA